UUUGUACGCUGGCGGCAGGCCUAACACAUGCAAGUCGAACGGUAGCACAGAGAGCUUGCUCUCGGGUGACGAGUGGCGGACGGGUGAGUAAUGUCUGGGAAACUGCCUGAUGGAGGGGGAUAACUACUGGAAACGGUAGCUAAUACCGCAUAAUGUCGCAAGACCAAAGAGGGGGACCUUCGGGCCUCUUGCCAUCAGAUGUGCCCAGAUGGGAUUAGCUAGUAGGUGGGGUAACGGCUCACCUAGGCGACGAUCCCUAGCUGGUCUGAGAGGAUGACCAGCCACACUGGAACUGAGACACGGUCCAGACUCCUACGGGAGGCAGCAGUGGGGAAUAUUGCACAAUGGGCGCAAGCCUGAUGCAGCCAUGCCGCGUGUAUGAAGAAGGCCUUCGGGUUGUAAAGUACUUUCAGCGGGGAGGAAGGUGUUGUGGUUAAUAACCGCAGCAAUUGACGUUACCCGCAGAAGAAGCACCGGCUAACUCCGUGCCAGCAGCCGCGGUAAUACGGAGGGUGCAAGCGUUAAUCGGAAUUACUGGGCGUAAAGCGCACGCAGGCGGUCUGUCAAGUCGGAUGUGAAAUCCCCGGGCUCAACCUGGGAACUGCAUUCGAAACUGGCAGGCUGGAGUCUUGUAGAGGGGGGUAGAAUUCCAGGUGUACCGGUGAAAUGCGUAAAGAUCUGGAGGAAUACCGGUGGCGAAAGCGGCCCCUGGACAAA
rnacentral:rRNA from 1 species